GAUGAAGAACGCAUCGAAAUGCGAUAAUUAAUGUGAAUUGCAGAAUUCCGUGAAUCAUCGAGUCUUUGAACGCACAUUGCGCCUCAUGGCAUUCCGUGAGGCAUGCCCAUCUCAGCGUUAGAAAAUAUUCUCAAAUUUUAGUUUUGUGCUAAAAUUUGGAUCAUGUCAAGGAAGCUAUUACUAUUAUUGUGAUCGCUCUUUGGAAAUUGAUAGGUCUUUGAGUUGCUACUCAUAGAACGUGAUGAAUCUUUCUUCGUUCUAUUGUAAUUCACUCUGGUAGUCCUAAAACUUGUAUGCCUGUGGCAUAUCUUGUAAUUUGACCUGAGAUUGGGUAGGGAUACCCGCUGAACUUAAGCAUAUCAAUAAGCGGAGGA
rnacentral:misc_RNA from 1 species